UACGGUAGGUGCGAGCGUAAUCGAAGUUACUGGCGUAAGCGUGCGCAGGCGGUUUUGUAAGCCAGACGUGAAAUCCCCGGGCUUAACCUGGGAACUGCGUUUGGAACUGCAAGGCUAGAGUGCGGCAGAGGAAGGUGGAAUUCCUGGUGUAGCAGUGAAAUGCGUAGAUAUCAGGAGGAACACCGAUGGCGAAGGCAGCCUUCUGGGCUAGCACUGACGCUCAUGCACGAAAGCGUGGGGAGCAAACAGGAUUAGAUACCCGAGUAGU
rnacentral:rRNA from 1 species